AUGGUGGUCAUUCCUCCCUCUAUAAAGAGUAAUUUCUCUUUCAUCCAAUUCCAUUCUCAUACUUCCAUAAGAUCUAGCCCCCUUAUCAGAUUUUCCCUUUUUUCACUGCAAGCCAUUAAACCGCCUCCAUUUCUGUUGAACCGGGCGCCGCCAGAGCCACCAACACUACUAGGAGAUGGAAAUAUCGUCAAGGUUGGUAUUGUAUCUCAAAAUCGUCCCUCCACUAUUUGCGCUCUGAUGGCUACGAUUCGCGCACCCCAAAGUUACAGUAGAUUUACUACAUGUUGCAAUUUGUCCCUCUUUCAGAUCUAUCCAUUUAUGUUUUGGUGUUGUCUAUUUAUGCUUUUGUCAUUUGGGAUUUAA